AGUUGGUGGUGUGAAUUGUCUGGUUGAUUCCGUUAACGAACGAGACCUUUACUGGUAAAUAGUCACGGGAAGGUUUUGCGUCAAGGCAUAAGGGGCCAAUCUUGAGAAGGAUCCGUUCCCUCAGGAUUGCCGAUCCUUUGUGUUGCAUUUCUUCCUGGAAGUACUUCUUACUAGGACUAUUUGUGAUAAGCAAAUGGAAGUUGGAGGCUAAAACAGGU
rnacentral:rRNA from 1 species